GACGAACGCUGGCGGCGUGCCUAAUACAUGCAAGUAGAACGCACAGUUUAUACCUUAGCUUGCUACACCAUAAACUGUGAGUUGCGAACGGGUGAGUAACGCGUAGGUAACCUGCCUGACAGCGGGGGAUAACUAUUGGAAACGAUAGCUAAUACCGCAUAAUAUUAAUUAUUGCAUGAUAAUUGAUUGAACGAUGCAAUUGCAUCACUACCAGCUAGACCUGCGUUGUAUUAGCUAGUAGGUGAGGUAACGGCUCACCUAGGCGACGAUACAUAACCGACCUGGGGGGGUGAUCGGCCACAAUGGGACUGAGAAACGGCCCAGACUCCUACGGGAGGCAGCAGUAGGGGAUCUUCGGCAAUGGACGAAAGUCUGACCGAGCAACGGCGCGUGAGUGAAGAAGGUUUUCGGAUCGUAAAGCUCUGUUGUAAGAGAAGAACGGGUGUGAGAGUGGAAAGUUCACACUGUGACGGUAUCUUACCAGAAAGGGACGGCUAACUACGUG
rnacentral:rRNA from 1 species